AAUUUAAUUUGAUUUUUAUUUAAUUUAUUAAAAAUAAUUUCAAAAAUUUAAAGUUAAAGUAUUUUUUAAAGAAAUAAUAAUUUUAAUUAUAGAAAAAUAGUAUUGAAAAAUAAAAUUGAAAUAUAUUGAAAUAAAAAUAAAUAAAAAAGAAAAUUUUAAUUAUUGUACCUUGUGUAUCAGGGUUUAUUAAAUAAAAAAUAAAAAUUUAUUUUUCUCGAUUUUAAGAGAUUUAAAAAUUUAUUUUAGUUAAUGUGGCAUAAUUAUUAAUAAUAAAUUUUUAGAAAUGAGAUGUUUUCGUUCUUAAUUAUAUCUAGUUUUUUAAGAAAUAAAUUUAAUUUAUAUAAUAUUAAUAUUAUUGUUUAGUUAAAAAUAAAUAAAGUUAAUAUUAUAAAUAAUUUAAGGGAUAAGCUUUAAAUUAAAUUUUUAAAAAUUUUAAUUUUAUAAAUUAAAUAUAAGCUUAGAAUUAGCUAUUAUUUAUAAAUAUGUUAUAAUUUAUAUAAAAAUAAAUAAGAUUUAAUUAAAAUUUUAAAUAAUUUAUUAAAAUAUUAAUAUAAAUUAAAAAUAUUAAUUAAUAAUGAUAAAAUUAGUAUAAAAAUAUUUUGUAAGAAAAUAUUAUUUUUUUUAAAAUUUAUUAAAAUAAUUCGGCAAAAAUAAUAUUCACCUGUUUAUCAAAAACAUGUCUUUUUGAAUUUUAUAUAAAGUCUGACCUGCCCAUUGAAUUAAAUUUUAAAAGGCUGCGGUAUAUUGACCGUACAAAGGUAGCAUAAUCAUUAGUUUUUUAAUUGAAAACUUGUAUGAAUGGUUUAAUGAAAUAUUAACUGUUUCUAAUAAAUUUAAUUAGAAUUUAAUUUUUUAGUAAAAAAGCUAAAAUAUAAUUAAAAGACGAGAAGACCCUAUAGAGUUUUAUAAAAAAUUAAUUUAUUUUAUAAAUAAUAUUUAAAAAUUUAUUUAAUAUUUUUAUUUUAUUGGGGUGAUAGUAAAAUUUAAUAAUCUUUUAUUUUUUUUUUAACAAUGAUUUUUGAAAAAUUGAUCCAUUUAUAGUGAUUAAAAGAUUAAAUUACCUUAGGGAUAACAGCGUAAUUUUUUUGUAGAGUUCUUAUCGAUAAAAAAUUUUGCGACCUCGAUGUUGGAUUAAGAUAAAUAUAGGGUGUAGUAGCUUUAUAAUUAGGUCUGUUCGACCUUUAAUAUCUUACAUGAUCUGAGUUCAAACCGGUUUAAGCCAGGUUGGUUUCUAUCUUUAAUAAAAAUUUAUAUUUUAGUACGAAAGGACCAAAUAUAGAAAUUAUAAUUUAAAUAUUAAAAUUGAAUAUUAUUAAUAUAAAUAA
rnacentral:rRNA from 1 species